AGAAUCAACGCUGGCGGCGUGCCUAACACAUGCAAGUCGAACGAGAAAGUGGAGCAAUCCAUGAGUAAAGUGGCGCACGGGUGAGUAACACGUGACUAACCUACCCUUGAGUGGGGGAUAACCUAGAGAAAUCUGGGCUAAUACCGCAUAAUACCUUCGGGUCAAAGGAGCAAUUCGCUUAAGGAGGGGGUCGCGGCCGAUUAGUUAGUUGGCGGGUAAUGGCCCACCAAGACUGUGAUCGGUA
rnacentral:rRNA from 1 species